rnacentral:miRNA from 1 species
UUAUGGUGGUGACUAUGUGUGUGCGUAUGUCCAUAUAUAUGGGCAUACACACACACACACACACACACACACACACACACACAC